GGAGAGGGUUCUUAAAUGCAGUCGAAGGUCCUUUCGGGGAUAGUGGCGGACGGGUGAGUAACGCGUGAGAAUCUGCCUUUAGGACGGGGACAACAGUUGGAAACGGCUGCUAAAACCCGAUGUGCCCUUCGGGGUGAAAUAUUUAUAGCCUGAAGAUGAGCUCGCGUCUGAUUAGCUAGUAGGUGAGGUAAAGGCUCACCUAGGCGACGAUCAGUAACUGGUCUGAGAGGAUGACCAGUCACACUGGGACU
rnacentral:rRNA from 1 species